rnacentral:rRNA from 1 species
UAGGGAAUCUUCGGCAAUGGGGGGAACCCUGACCGAGCAACGCCGCGUGAGUGAAGAAGGUUUUCGGAUCGUAAAGCUCUGUUGUUAAGGAAGAACGAGUGUGAGAAUGGAAAGUUCAUACUGUGACGGUACUUAACCAGAAAGGGACGGCUAACUACGUGCCAGCAGCCGCGGUAAUACGUAGGUCCCGAUCGUUGUCCGGAUUUAUUGGGCGUAAAGCGAGCGCAGGCGGUUAGAUAAGUCUGAAGUUAAAGGCAGUGGCUCAACCAUUGUAGGCUUUGGAAACUGUUUAACUUGAGUGCAGAAGGGGAGAGUGGAAUUCCAUGUGUAGCGGUGAAAUGCGUAGAUAUAUGGAGGAACACCAGUGGCGAAGGCGACUCUCUGGUCUGUAACUGACGCUUAGGCUCGAAAGCGUGGGUAGCAAACAGG